GACGAACGCUGGCGGCGUGCUUAACACAUGCAAGUCGAACGGAAAGGCCCUGCUUUCGUGGGGUGCUCGAGUCGCGAACGGGUGUGAAACACGUGAGUAACCUGCCCUUGACUUUGGGAUAACUUCAGGAAAGUGGGGCUAAUACCGGAUAGGAGCUCCUGCUGCAUGGUGGGGGUUGGAAAGUUUCGGCGGUUGGGGCUGGACUGCCGGCUUAUCAGCUGGUUGGGGGGGUAGCGGCCUACCCAGGCGUUGACGGGUAGCCGGCCUGGGUGGGCGACCGGCCACAUUGGGACUGAGGUACGCCCCAGACUCCAACGGGGGGCAGCGGUGGGGAGUAUUGCACAAUGGGGGGAAGCCUGAUGCAGCAACGCCGCGUGCGGGAUGCCGGCCUUCGGGUGGUAAACCGCUUUCGCCUGGGACGAAGCUUGUGUGACGGUAAUGAGUAAAGAAGCACCGGCUAACUACGUG
rnacentral:rRNA from 1 species